GACGAACGCUGGCGGCGUGCCUAAUACAUGCAAGUCGAACGCACAGUUUAUACCGUAGCUUGCUACACCAUAGACUGUGAGUUGCGAACGGGUGAGUAACGCGUAGGUAACCUGCCUGGUAGCGGGGGAUAACUAUUGGAAACGAUAGCUAAUACCGCAUAAUGUUGAUUAUUGCAUGGUAAUUGAUUGAAAGAUGCUAUUGCAUCACUACCAGAUGGACCUGCGGUGUAUUAGCUAGUAGGCGAGGUAACGGCGCACCUAGGCGACGAUAGAGAGACGACCGGAGUGGGUGGGCAGCCGCACUGGGAGUGUGACAGGGCCCAGACGGCUACGGGAGGCAGCAGGAGGGCUACUUCGGCAAUCGGCGAAAGUCUGACCGAGCAACGCCGCGUGCGGGUAGAAGGUUGUCGGGUCGUAAAUCUCUGUUGUAAGAGAAGAACGGGUGUGAGAGUGUAAAGUUCACUCUGUGACGGUAUCUUAUCAGAAAGGGACGGCUAACUACGUG
rnacentral:rRNA from 1 species